GAUGAACGCUGGCGGCGUGCCUAAUACAUGCAAGUCGAGCGAACGGACGAGAAGCUUGCUUCUCUGAUGUUAGCGGCGGACGGGUGAGUAACACGUGGAUAACCUACCUAUAAGACUGGGAUAACUUCGGGAAACCGGAGCUAAUACCGGAUAAUAUUUUGAACCGCAUGGUUCAAAAGUGAAAGACGGUCUUGCUGUCACUUAUAGAUGGAUCCGCGCUGCAUUAGCUAGUUGGUAAGGUAACGGCUUACCAAGGCAACGAUGCAUAGCCGACCUGAGAGGGUGAUCGGCCACACUGGAACUGAGACACGGUCCAGACUCCUACGGGAGGCAGCAGUAGGGAAUCUUCCGCAAUGGGCGAAAGCCUGACGGAGCAACGCCGCGUGAGUGAUGAAGGUCUUCGGAUCGUAAAACUCUGUUAUUAGGGAAGAACAUAUGUGUAAGUAAAUGUGCACAUCUUGACGGUACCUAAUCAGAAAGCAACGGCUAACUACGUG
rnacentral:rRNA from 1 species